rnacentral:misc_RNA from 1 species
AUAAUUUGCCGAACCUAGCGUUAGCGAGGUUCUGCGAUCACUAUAUUUAAAACCAAACUCUUCAAUGUAUAAUUAUGUUAUUUUUUUUAAUAAAAAAUUAAAGA